UGAAGUUGCAGUAAUAAACCCUGCAAAUGUCAUUCCUUUGUGCGUCAAAAAGAACUGAUUAUAAAAAUAAAUAAAAAAAACCGACUACGAAAAUAUGUGUACUGUAUAAUAUCCUGUGUAAUUAUUAAUAUCAUAUGAAAUGGUUGUUGGGUGACUCUAGUGAUGCAAUUAAUUCAGGAACGAUCACGCCCACUACAGUUACGAGCUUCGCCCGAGGGUUCGCCUUUAUGCAAAUCACUCGUUCAAACAGGUUUUAAUAUUCAAAUAAGGCUUGACAUGUUCAAUUCUAGUUUCUUAACAACCCUCCUCCAUCUUAUGACCAAUAUUUUGUGUAGGUUGCACAAUAAGGUCAGGUGUUUUUGCUUAGCGUGUGACCAAACGCCACACUUUUGCGGGUUUAGUUAGAUUUUCAACGUGCAUAACUUACCUCGAGCAACCAAUAGGGGGCAUAGGCGAAAUUUUUGGGAAAUUAUUUUCAAUACUUUUAAAAUAUUUUAAAACAUUUUAAAUAUAUAAGGUACGAAUUAAAAUGGUUGUUAAAUAACAUGUUAAAAUUUGCAUAUUAACAGUUUUGUAGGCCUAAAUUAAAGUGGCCUCGUGUUUUACGUAGGCUACACGAAGUGCAUGUUAUCUGGGUGAAGGUAAAACUGUAACAGUUCCUCAUAUACAGUUUACAGCUCUCAGAAGCAAGUGUAUUCAUAAUUAAAACUGCUGAAGUUCAGGUGAGUCAGGGGCUUUAACCCGUCACAUGAAUCAAUGAUGUGCUGUCACCGAACAGGAGAACACUGGCACACCCAAGCUGACCCAGAACCAGCUGUAAACCUUACCUGACGCAGAUACUGGGUAUCUUUACCUAUCCAGAAACCCACAGGUAUGUAUCAUUAAAACCAGCAGAAGUAUGAGCAUAUUAGCUUCCUGCUCUCAUUCUAAACAUUUUGGAACAGGGAACAAUCUGUGUCUACAAAUAUACAACAGGAGGCCCGUUUUUACUGCAAACAAUUAAGCUUUAAAUAGCUUGAUAUAUUAUCAGUCAUAUCAACAGCCAUACAUUGUGAUGUGCAUUGUUUUGGUGUCAGGUUGUGUAAAGUAUGAAUGAGUUAUUAUGCCUCGUUUUCAAAAACAUACAACUUUGGAAAGUCCCUGUAACUAUAAUUUGCAUAGGCAUAGUUGUUUUUUUUUCUUCUUUUCUUUUCUUUCUUUCUUUCUUUCUUUCUGCUAGCAGCAUAUGUGACACAAAGUGCCCAUUGUGGCUCUUGUGGUUUUUAAAAGUGGGGAGCAGAGAAUUGUGGCUAUCCAGCACUUUGUAACAAUGUAUAGUGUGUGAGCUUGCAUCUUUCUUCCAGCCAAGCCUUUUGGCGAGCUUGCUGACUUUUGAUCGUUUUAGUUUACGAUAGGACGAAAGGUUUUAAUAAUUACCCUCAUUCAGUAGAAUUCCCCUUCAUGAAUAAUCCAAUAUUGGCAAAAAAAAAACUUUUCACUUAAAUCGAUAUCCUCCCAAAUCUAAACGGUAAUACACCUAGGCCUAAUUAUUCUACACGAAAUCAAAAAAUUAAAUUGAGAAAAUCGCCAUUAAAGUUCUUCUUUAAAGUUCUUAGCAAUUUAUAUUACUGAUUAAAAAUUAAGUUUUGAUAUAUUUACGGUAGGGAAUUUACAAAAUAUCUUCAUGGAACAUGAUCUUAAUAUCCUAAUGAUUUUUGGAAUUAAAGCAAAAUCGAUAAUUUUGUCCCAUGCAGUGUAUUGUUAGCUACAAAUAUACCCGUGCUACUUAUGACUGGCUUUGUCGUACAGGGUCACAAAAUAUUUUAAUGAUACCAUAAAAUGAAAUGUAAAUAUAUAGGCUACGUGUAUACAUACUGAAAAAACAGUGUGGGAUUAAAUCUGAAAAAAAAAAAAAAAAAAAUAGACAAUUACAAAGAAACGGCAGGUAACUUCGAAGCAGAAAGACUGAAAUAGUAUUUUACAAUGUAACAUUACUCAAAUAAUCUUUGUUUUGUGUAAAUCUUCGGUAAACCUUUCUUUAUACCCUCUAAUCAGGUGAAGAAACUUGUAGUUAUUUCAAAAUUAAAUAAAUUAUGCUUGAAAACAGGCACACUACUGAUUUUGCAGUAGCUAUCAGCACGCACUUGAAGCUCUUGCCAAAAGCAAAACAAGGUCUUUUUUCGACACCUACUGGCAGUGCAGCGGUACUACAAGCACAAGCAGCUUCCUAUACGCAUAGAAUGACGUGUUGUUGUUUUUUUUGUAUCGCUACACCCACUUACCUCAGCUACAACCUUCCGGAGUAAAAUAGAAGACAUUUUGUGUUUGAAUAAAUAAAAACGUAAAUGUAGUUGUUGACAGUUGUUUUACACAUUUCGGAGCAUGCGCACGAACGCUCUGUGAAACUCGCUGUUCGCCGUGAUUAUCGUUUACCGGUAGUUAAUCUCCGUAGGAAUACGUUGCGUAAGUUACCGGGUCUGGUUAUGGCGUCGGUGAGUCGUGCUGGACCAUGAGUUAUUACGGUAUUGGAGUGUGUAAAGAGACUGUGGCCAUGGCUGGUGUGUUUGAUAUCGACCUAGACCCGUCGGAGGACAACGUGUCGGACGAGGAGCUCGCUGACGGGGCCAAGAGUAAUGAAUGCAUGGACCAGUGCAGUGGCUUUGACUUUAUGGAAGACUGCGAGAAGUUCGAGAUCUCCGAGAACAGUGUGAAUCAAGGCACAGAGCAGAUUCGUCCGGAAUGUUUUGAGUUGCUUCGUGUUUUGGGUAAAGGAGGAUAUGGCAAGGUUUUUCAAGUUCGAAAAGUAUCAGGGGCAGAUUCUGGGAAGAUAUUUGCCAUGAAGGUCUUGAAAAAGGCCAUGAUAGCUCGCAAUGCAAAGGAUACUGCUCAUACUAAAGCAGAAAGGAGCAUCCUAGAGGAAGUUAAGCAUCCCUUCAUUGUGGACCUCAUAUACGCCUUUCAGACUGGAGGCAAACUUUACCUCAUCUUGGAGUACCUAAGCGGUGGAGAGCUGUUCAUGCAGCUGGAGAGGGAGGGGAUCUUCUUAGAGGACACAGCCGGUUUUUACCUGGCAGAGAUUUCCAUGGCCUUGGGUCACCUUCAUCAGAAAGGCAUUAUCUACAGAGAUCUGAAGCCAGAGAACAUCAUGCUCAAUAACAAUGGUCAUGUGAAGUUGACAGACUUCGGACUCUGUAAGGAGUCGAUCCACGAUGGGACCGUCACACACACCUUCUGCGGAACCAUAGAGUACAUGGCACCAGAGAUCCUCAUGAGAAGCGGCCAUAACCGAGCUGUGGACUGGUGGAGUCUGGGAGCCCUGAUGUAUGACAUGCUGACAGGAGCUCCACCAUUCACUGCAGAGAAUCGGAAAAAAACCAUAGACAAAAUCCUAAAGUGCAAACUGAACCUUCCACCUUACCUCACCCAAGAAGCACGGGACCUUCUGAAAAAGCUGCUGAGAAGAAACGCAUCAACGAGGAUGGGAGCAGGUCCUAGAGAUGCUUUAGAUAUCCAGGCCCACUCCUUCUUCAGACAUAUGAACUGGGAUGAUCUGCUGGCUUUUAAAGUUGAACCUCCCUUUAAGCCUUUUUUGAUCUCUAUUUCUACAGCGAUCAGCAGAUGAUGUUAGCCAGUUUGACUCCAAGUUCACUAGUCAGACUCCUGUGGACAGUCCCGAUGACUCGACACUCAGUGAAAGCGCCAACCAAGUCUUCCUGGGCUUUACAUACAUAGCUCCAUCUGUGCUCGAAAACAUCAACGAGAAGUUCACUUUUGAGCCAAAAUACCGUUCACCUCGCAAGCUUCUGGGAAGCCCAAGAACACCAGUGAG